GAUGAACGCUAGCGGCAGGCUUAAUACAUGCAAGUCGAGGGGCAGCACGGUUAGCAAUAACUGGUGGCGACCGGCGCACGGGUGCGUAACACGUAUACAAUCUACCUUAAACAGGGGAUAGCCUUUCGAAAGAGAGAUUAAUACCCCGUAAUAAAUUGAACGGCAUCGUUUGAUUUUGAAAGCUCCGGCGGUUUGAGAUGAGUAUGCGUCUGAUUAGCUAGUUGGUGAGGUAACGGCUCACCAAGGCGACGAUCAGUAGGGGAUCUGAGAGGACUAACCCCCACACUGGUACUGAGACACGGGCCAGACUCCUACGGGAGGCAGCAGUAAGGAAUAUUGGUCAAUGGAGGCAACUCUGAACCAGCCAUGCCGCGUGCAGGAUGACGGCCCUAUGGGUUGUAAACUGCUUUUAUACAAGAGAAAACCCUGGUACGUGUACCAGGUUGAUAGUAUUGUAAGAAUAAGCAUCGGCUAAACUUCGUGCCAGCAGCCGCGGUAAU
rnacentral:rRNA from 1 species